rfam:Eucalyptus grandis cultivar BRASTZ1 unplaced genomic scaffold scaffold_8, whole genome shotgun sequence.
CUGCACCUGUGUAUAGGCCUCCCUCUACUUGGUAGUGUGGCCUUAAGCGUUUGUGCAGAAACUAAUAGCUGUUAAAUCAGCGGCGGCCAGACAACCGCUGAGAUGGAUCCACAGGUGAAUUGCCCAAAGUGCUGCUUGCCUACUAAAUCCAUCUUACAUGC